UACGGAGGGUGCAAGCGUUAUUCGGAUUCACUGGGUUUAAAGGGUGCGUAGGUGGGCGAGUAAGUCAGUGGUGAAAUCUCCGGGCUUAACCCGGAAACUGCCAUUGAUACUAUUUGUCUUGAAUACUGUGGAGGUCAGCGGAAUAUGUCAUGUAGCGGUGAAAUGCUUAGAUAUGACAUAGAACACCAAUUGCGAAGGCAGCUGGCUAGACAAAUAUUGACACUGAGGCACGAAAGCGUGGGGAGCAAACAGG
rnacentral:rRNA from 1 species